rnacentral:rRNA from 1 species
UCAGAUUGAACGCUGGCGGCAGGCCUAACACAUGCAAGUCGAGCGGUAACAUUUCUAAGCUUGCUUAGAAGAUGACGAGCGGCGGACGGGUGAGUAAUGCUUGGGGAUCUGCCUGAUGGCGGGGGACAACCACUGGAAACGGUGGCUAAUACCGCAUAAUACCUAUGGGUCAAAGUGUGGGACCUUCGGGCCACACGCCAUCAGAUGAACCCAAGUGAGAUUAGCUGGUUGGUAAGGUAACGGCUUACCAAGGCGACGAUCUCUAGCUGGUCUGAGAGGAUGAUCAGCCACACUGGGACUGAGACACGGCCCAGACUCCUACGGGAGGCAGCAGUGGGGAAUAUUGGACAAUGGGGGCAACCCUGAUCCAGCCAUGCCGCGUGUGUGAAGAAGGCCUUCGGGUUGUAAAGCACUUUCAGUGGUGAGGAAGGUGGUGUCGUUAAUAGCGGCAUCAAUUGACGUUAGCCACAGAAGAAGCACCGGCUAACUCCGUGCCAGCAGCCGCGGUAAUACGGAGGGUGCGAGCGUUAAUCGGAAUUACUGGGCGUAAAGCGCACGUAGGCGGUAUGUUAAGCAAGAUGUGAAAGCCCAGAGCUCAACUCUGGAAUAGCAUUUUGAACUGGCAUGCUAGAGUUUUGGAGAGGGU